CCGGCUAGCUCAGUCGGUAGAGCAUGAGAC
rnacentral:piRNA from 12 species